rnacentral:rRNA from 1 species
GAUGAACGCUGGCGGCGUGCCUAAUACAUGCAAGUCGAGCGAACAGAUGAGGAGCUUGCUCCUCUGACGUUAGCGGCGGACGGGUGAGUAACACGUGGAUAACCUACCUAUAAGACUGGGAUAACUUCGGGAAACCGGAGCUAAUACCGGAUAAUAUAUUGAACCGCAUGGUUCAAUAGUGAAAGACGGUUUUGCUGUCACUUAUAGAUGGUUCCGCGCCGCAUUAGCUAGUUGGUAAGGUAACGGCUUACCAAGGCAACGAUGCGUAGCCGACCUGAGAGGAUGAUCAGCCACACUGGAACUGAGACACGGUCCAGACUCCUACGGGAGGCAGCAGUAGGGAAUAUUCCGCAAUGGGCGAAAGCCUGACGGAGCAACGCCGCGUGAGUGAUGAAGGUCUUCGGAUCGUAAAACUCUGUUAUUAGGGAAGAACAAAUGUGUAAGUAACUAUGCACGUCUUGACGGUACCUAAUCAGAAAGCCACGGCUAACUACGUG